UUAUAUAUAUAUACUAUUAAGUAGGUAGGUAUCUCAAAUAUAUUAAAUGUGCACGGGAUAUUAUAAAUGGAAAUCGUGAAUUAUUUCAGGUCAGGCAUUGCAGUAGACCGAUGAUAAGUAAAUCAAAAAAGGUUCGUUUGAUUUACAUAAAAGUAUGAACCAUAACAUAACGAUAAUGUUAACAUGUGCGGUCGUCGUGCGGCUCCUAAACUGCUGUUUAUACCAUCUUGGCAUCGUAAAAGCUAAAAUUCAAUGUCGAUUGUCGAUGUGCAUUUUGGUAAAUUGAAGUCAUAUAAAUGGCCGGAUAGUCGAAUAAAAGUAUGUAAAAUCAUACACCACUUAGCUUACGAGUAUUGAAUGAAAUCAUUUACAAUGGCUGCCGAACCGACAAUUAUUACUAUUCAAGUAGCACCAUAGUUAAACGUAAAGUACAUUGCAGGGGAAUGUCAAAGUGUCAAGAGUAAAAAAAUCUAUCAAUGAACACCGUUCACGGUAGAAAUCUGAAGUUUACAAUACAUUUGCGGUAACAAGAAAACUACCAUCGAAUUCAUUUUUCUCGAAUUCACAACAUUAUAAUAAAAUGUUGAAUUCCUAAUAUUGGUGCAUAAAAUGAUUCAGUUUUUAAAAAUGAAGUACUUUGCAUAUUUACAGCGAUCGUUAUUAUAAAGAUGUGUUGUCUCCGUCCAGUAACGCAUAAUGCAUGUCAAAAUGUACGUUCAACAGUUCAAGUGUUGUGUGGUUAGCUUUAAUAGAAGUUAGUGAAUAUUAUUUACUUAUUAACUGAAAACUUAUAAGUUAGAACAUUGUCAAGCUAACAACACACAAUUGAAACUGUUGAAGGACAAUUUUGGUAAGUUAUGUGUGUACCUAAGGUAUAUAAGACGGAGACAACACACGUGGGUACGAAGUGCUCUUAAGGAUAAAUAUUGUGGCAGAUAAUAUUAUCGUAUAAAUGUAUAAUACUAUUAUUUUGAUCGAAAAAAUUCUCGCCAUACAUCCAUUCCUUAUAUUAUACCUACGAGUUACGACCUAUACCAACUGCAGUUUCGAAGACAAUUUUUAAAGUCAGUUUUUGUUAUAGAACAAAUAAAAAGAUACAAAUAUUAUAUUUCUAUUAAGCCGACGAGUGUGUCCAAUAUUAACAAUGACUGUCAUGAAAACCUCGGGGGACAGUGGGCAUGUAAGAUGUAUAGGUAUUGCGUGCGUUGACCAUCGAAGAAUAGCCCCGUCGAGCAUAAUAGGCACUGCUGCAGGUAUUUCUGUUCACGAACAUAAUGUAUAAUGUGUGUACAUAUGUGUGUUUAUACGAAGGGUAGGUAUUAUAGUUCAUUAUAUUGGUGUAGGUAUUAUAUUAUUA